AGUGAACGCUGGCGGUAGGCCUAACACAUGCAAGUCGAACGGCAGCACAGUAAGAGCUUGCUCUUACGGGUGGCGAGUGGCGGACGGGUGAGGAAUACAUCGGAAUCUACUUUUUCGUGGGGGAUAACGUAGGGAAACUUACGCUAAUACCGCAUACGACCUACGGGUGAAAGCAGGGGAUCUUCGGACCUUGCGCGAUUGAAUGAGCCGAUGUCGGAUUAGCUAGUUGGCGGGGUAAAGGCCCACCAAGGCGACGAUCCGUAGCUGGUCUGAGAGGAUGAGCAGCCACACUGGAACUGAGACACGGUCCAGACUCCUACGGGAGGCAGCAGUGGGGAAUAUUGGACAAUGGGCGCAAGCCUGAUCCAGCCCUACCGCGUGGGUGAAGAAGGCCUUCGGGUUGUAAAGCCCUUUUGUUGGGAAAGAAAAGCAGCAGGUUAAUACCCCGCUGUUCUGACGGUACCCAAAGAAUAAGCACCGGCUAACUUCGUG
rnacentral:rRNA from 1 species